rnacentral:lncRNA from 1 species
UUCAAUACAAAUAUUGUACUGAAUAUAAUACGACAAUAUACACACCCAAAUUAUUACAAUGCCAUAUAAAAUACAGCAACAAAUAUUUCAAGUUUUCAAAGGAACACGAGAAGAUUUAUGUCCUUCUCAUUCUAAUGGGAUGUAUUUUUGACGCUUUCAAAGCCGGGUUCUCCUCACCCUAUUAUUGUUCACCAAAACAAUUAUUAAAUGACGUAUAAAAUACGACACACACACACAUUAAGUUCUUAAUACAAUUAUA